UCUAAAAUUUUCGUCCGAAAAAUCCUUAUUUCUAGUAGUGAUACUGCUCUAGCUAGUUGAAUCCUUUGCUUUUGUCCUCCACUCAUGUUGAUCCCUUUAUGACCGAUUUCUGUCAGAUCGCCAUGGCUGAAAUCAUUAAUGUCCUUAUCCAAGGCACAAACCUUAAUGGUAUUCUGAUAUCUUUUCUUGUCCACACUACACCAGGAAUGGAGCAUAGCGGCGGAGAAAUGGGGGCGUUUCACCUUGGCACCGCAAAAUAACCAUGCGGAAGAGUUAUCCCUUCCUUUGCCGCAAUAACAGCGGUGCUUGCGUCUGGAAACGCCACAGGGAGCUGGGUAGCGCGUGAAACACCGCCAUCGCUACAAUACCGUGCCCAACUACUGCCGAUCCAUCCUCUUUAAUCUGGCAUCGAGGUUUUGCCUCUCAUCCACAACUUCUGAAACCCAAAUUCCCUCAUUCACGAUGUGCAAAAUCCACAACCUCUGCCCCAGGUUGUCGAGACGCGCAGCUGCCAUCCGAGCGUAUCCCACCAGCGGCGAAGUUUCCCAUCUCCUUGAUUGAAACCGUGACACCUUCCUCCAUAGUGCGCCAAUCUCGGCCAUCACUGCCGUUCCCCUGUCACUGGUGCGUUCUUCAACUCUGGUCUUUCCUUCUUGUUUUCAUUCUUGGUUCAGAAUUUUGAAAAGAAUUUAUCUAUAUCUGUCAUUAAUUUGGGUUUAUUGCUGUUGUUUAGAGUUUUGGAUUUGAAGGUACUACUUUUUCUUAUGUUAAUGGCUGCUAUGUAUUGAAAUUGAUAGUAUUGGUAGAUAAAUGAAAAAAGCUGGUCAUUAUCAUUAUGAGAGGAAUGAAUCGGUCAUGGAUUGUGCAAACUAUUUAUGAAUUCAAGCUCUCUAUAGUGAUAUAGCUAACUCUCUUAUGAGCCUUUAACUAAUUUUGCCACAUUAUAUUAUGAAUUUAAUAAUAUCAGGCUUCUAUGAUGUUCCUUCCUGUUAGUUGAUGUAUGUAUUUGAUAAUGAGUUUGAGUUAAUGAUGCCAUUCCUAUAUUCAUUCUUGGCUUCAGAAAAUCCAAAUGAUUAUGACCUUUUGCCUAUAAAAUUAAGAUAUCACAGACUAAUAAACUCAGUGUUAUAUAAAAGCAUAUAUAAUAUUCUAAGAUCAUAAUACAAGUUUCUAACACAACAACAAAAAGCUAAUUGCUGUUGUUGAAAGAGACAUGGAAAAAAUGUAUCAUAAGACCUCAAUUUUCUGGGGCAAUGUUGCAAGUUAAUGCUUUAAUUCAGUAAAUAUUCCUUAAUCCAUAUCAGUUCUUAUGAUUAAGCACUCAAAGCUCCAAGAAAAAUUUCAUCAAGGAAUGGUACUACAUUUAGAGAUAGUUAUAUGAUUAUGGUCCCUAACAUAUAGUAGUCAACGUUUCUCAUUCUUAUGACUCGAAAUCUUAAAAUUAUACAAUCAAAAUUCAAACCAUAUUAUUGAAGUUACACUUGUUUGAAUGUAAAACUCCAACUAAUACAUGGUGCCAGAUCAAGUCCUAUUCAC